UACGUAGGGGGCAAGCGUUGUCCGGAAUCAUUGGGCGUAAAGAGCGUGUAGGCGGCUUGGUAAGUCCGCUGUGAAAGUCCAGGGCUCAACCCGGGAAAGCCGGUGGAAACUGUCAAGCUUGAGUCCGGAAGAGGCGAGUGGAAUUCCUGGUGUAGCGGUGAAAUGCGCAGAUAUCAGGAGGAACACCAGUGGCGAAGGCAGCUCGCUGGGACGGUACUGACGCUGAGACGCGAAAGCGUGGGGAGCAAACAGG
rnacentral:rRNA from 1 species